CCUACGGGACGCACCAGUGGGGAAUAUUGCACAAUGGGCGCAAGCCUGAUACAGCCAUGCCGCGUGUAUGAAGAAGGCCUUAGGGUUGUAAAGUACUUUCAGUUGGGAGGAAGGCGUUGAUGCUAAUAUCAUCAGCGAUUGACGUUACCAACAGAAGAAGCACCGGCCAACUCCGUGCCAGCAGCCGCGGUAAUACGGAGGGUGCGAGCGUUAAUCGGAAUUACUGGGCGUAAAGCGCACGCAGGCGGUUGAUUAAGUUAGAUGUGAAAUCCCCGGGCUUAACCUGGGAAUGGCAUCUAAGACUGGUCAGCUAGAGUCUUGUAGAGGGGGGUAGAAUUCCAUGUGUAGCGGUGAAAUGCGUAGAGAUGUGGAGGUACACCGGUGGCGAAGGCAGCCCCCUGGACAAAGACUGACGCUCAGGUGCGAAAGCGUGGGGAGCAAACAGGAUUAGAUACCCGGGUAGUC
rnacentral:rRNA from 1 species